rnacentral:tRNA from 1 species
GCCCGGUUAGCUCAGUCGGUAGAGCAUUCGGCUUUUAUGCGAGGUGCACUCCUCGGUGUCAACCGAAAUGUCGGGGGUUCGAGCCCCCCAUUGGGCG